AUUGAACGCUGGCGGCAUGCUUUACACAUGCAAGUCGAACGGUAACAGGCCUUCGGGUGCUGACGAGUGGCGAACGGGUGAGUAAUGCAUCGGAACGUGCCCAGAGGUGGGGGAUAACGCAGCGAAAGCUGUGCUAAUACCGCAUGUGAUCUGAGGAUGAAAGCGGGGGACCAGGCAGCAAUGUUUGGCCUCGCGCCUUUGGAGCGGCCGAUGUCAGAUUAGGUAGUUGGUGGGGUAAAGGCCUACCAAGCCGACGAUCUGUAGCUGGUCUGAGAGGACGACCAGCCACACUGGGACUGAGACACGGCCCAGACUCCUACGGGAGGCAGCAGUGGGGAAUUUUGGACAAUGGGCGCAAGCCUGAUCCAGCAAUGCCGCGUGCGGGAAGAAGGCCUUCGGGUUGUAAACCGCUUUUGUACGGAACGAAAAGGCUCUGGCUAAUACCUGGGGCUGAUGACGGUACCGUAAGAAUAAGCACCAGCUAACUACGUG
rnacentral:rRNA from 1 species